AGCGAACGCUGGCGGCAGGCUUAACACAUGCAAGUCGAGCGCCCCGCAAGGGGAGCGGCAGACGGGCGAGUAACACGUGGGAACGUACCCUUCAGUUCGGAACAACCCAGGGAAACUUGGGCUAAUACCGGAUACGUCCGUAAGGAGAAAGAUUUAUCGCUGAAGGAUCGGCCCGCGUCUGAUUAGCUAGUUGGUGAGGUAAUGGCUCACCAAGGCUACGAUCAGUAGCUGGUCUGAGAGGAUGAUCAGCCACAUUGGGAGCUGAGACACGGCCCAAACUCCUACGGGAGGCAGCAGUGGGGAAUAUUGGACAAUGGGGGCAACCCUGAUCCAGCAUGCCGCGUGAGUGAUGAAGGCCCUAGGGUUGUAAAGCUCUUUUAGCAGGGAAGAUAAUGACGGUACCUGCAGAAAAAGCCCCGGCUAACUUCGUGCCAGCCGCCGCCGUAAUAC
rnacentral:rRNA from 1 species